AGAGUUUGAUCAUGGCUCAGAUUGAACGCUGGCGGCAUGCCUUACACAUGCAAGUCGAACGGCAGCACGGGAGCAAUCCUGGUGGCGAGUGGCGAACGGGUGAGUAAUACAUCGGAACGUGCCCAGUUGUGGGGGAUAGCCCGGCGAAAGCCGGAUUAAUACCGCAUACGACCUGAGGGUGAAAGCGGGGGAUCGCAAGACCUCGCGCAAUUGGAGCGGCCGAUGUCAGAUUAGCUAGUUGGCGGGGUAAGAGCCCACCAAGGCGACGAUCUGUAGCUGGUCUGAGAGGACGACCAGCCACACUGGGACUGAGACACGGCCCAGACUCCUACGGGAGGCAGCAGUGGGGAAUUUUGGACAAUGGGCGCAAGCCUGAUCCAGCCAUGCCGCGUGUGGGAAGAAGGCCUUCGGGUUGUAAACCACUGUUGCCCGGGACGAAAAGCCCUUUCGAGGGAAUGACGGUACCGGGGAGAG
rnacentral:rRNA from 1 species